GACGAACGCUGGCGGCGUGCUUAACACAUGCAAGUCGAACGGAAAGGCCCUGCUUUUGUGGGGUGCUCGAGUGGCGAACGGGUGAGUAACACGUGAGUAACCUGCCCUUGACUUUGGGAUAACUUCAGGAAACUGGGGCUAAUACCGGAUAGGAGCUCCUGCACCGCGGGGGGGGUUGGAAAAUUUCGGCUGUUGGGGCUGGACUCGCGGCUUCUCAGCUGGUUGGUGGGGUAGGGGCUUACAAAGGCUUUGACGGGUAGCCGGCCUGAGAGGGUGACCGGCCACAUUGGGACUGAGAUACGGCCCAGACUCCUACGGGAGGCAGCAGUGGGGAAUAUUGCACAAUGGGCGGAAGCCUGAUGCAGCAACGCCGCGUGCGGGAUGACGGCCUUCGGGUUGUAAACCGCUUUCGCCUGUGACGAAGCGUGAGUGACGGUAAUGGGUAAAGAAGCACCGGCUAACUACGUG
rnacentral:rRNA from 1 species